GCACAAAGUGACACCAUCAACGUCAACAACACUCGUGGACCCAUGGACACAUGUUGAGGUGGUCACAUAACGAACAGCCAUCUGUCAGGCCAUGUGCCACAACCGAACAAGUAUUGUCUCCAGUCCCAAAUGCUUCAUUGCCAUCCCAGUCCCAGAGGACCCCAGUAGUCAUGUCAAAUGCCUAAUGGCCAAAUGCAGUAUGAGGGGUGGUGGCCAACUUUCAAAGCCUGUUAUGUAAUUUAAG